UCGCGAAAACUUUGCAAUACACGAAAGUGUGACAGGGCUAUCCCGAGUGCCAUCCGCUGAGGAAGGCUUUUACCCAGUCUAGAAAGCUGGGAGAAUAAGGAGAGGGCAAGUCUGGUGUCAGCCGCCGCGGUAAUACCAGCUCUCCGAGUGGUGUGGAUGUUUAUUGGGCCUAAAGCAUCCGUAGCUGGCCAAGUUAGUCCCCUGUUAAAUCCACCGAAUUAAUCGUUGGUGUGCGGGGGAUACUGCUCGGCUAGGGGACGAGAGAGGCCGACGGUAUUUCCGGGGUAGGGUGAAAUCCUAUAAUCCCGGGAAGACCACCAGUGGCGAAGGCUGUCGGCUAGAACGCGCCCGACGGUGAGGGAUGAAAGCUGGGGUAGCGAACCGGAUUAGAUACCCGGGUAGUCCCAGCUGUAAACGAUGCAGGCUAGGUGUUUGGGCGGCCACUUGCCGCUCUAGUGCCGCAGGGAAGCUGUUAAGCCUGCCGCCUGGGGAGUACGGUCGCAAGGCUGAAACUUAAAGGAAUUGGCGGGGG
rnacentral:rRNA from 1 species